CGGGGAAUUUUGCGCAAUGGGGGAAACCCUGACGCAGCAACGCCGCGUGAGUGAUGAAGGCCUUCGGGUCGUAAAGCUCUGUCAGAGGGGAAGAAAUGCAGGGGUGCUAAUAUCAUCUUUGCUUGACGGUACCCUCAAAGGAAGCACCGGCUAACUCCGUGCCAGCAGCCGCGGUAAUACGGAGGGUGCGAGCGUUGUUCGGAAUUAUUGGGCGUAAAGCGCGUGUAGGCGGUUUGAUAAGUCUGAUGUGAAAGCCCCGGGCUCAACCUGGGAAGUGCAUUGGAAACUGUCAGACUUGAAUACGGGAGAGGGUAGUGGAAUUCCUAGUGUAGGAGUGAAAUCCGUAGAUAUUAGGAGGAACACCGGUGACGAAGGCGGCUACCUGGACCGAUAUUGACGCUGAGACGCGAAAGCGUGGGGAGCAAACAG
rnacentral:rRNA from 1 species